rnacentral:rRNA from 1 species
CCUACGGGAGGCAGCAGUGGGGAAUCUUGCGCAAUGCUCGUAAGAGUGACGCAGCGACGCCGCGUGAAUGACGAAGGCCUUCGGGUCGUAACGUUCUUUCGACAGGGAAGAAAGUGCCUAUAAGUAACUGUGUAUGUAUUGACGGUACCUGUAUAAGCAGCCCCGGCUAACUCCGUGCCAGCAGCCGCGGUAAUACGGAGGGGGCGAGCGUUGUUCGGCGUGACUGGGCGUAAAGAGCACGUAGGCGGUGUUGUAAGUCAUUAGUCAAAGACUAGAGCUCAACUUUAGUAAGGCUAGUGAUACUAUAAUACUAGAGUAUCAGAGAGGAUUGCAGAAUUCCUGGUGUAGCGGUGAAAGGCGUAGAUAUCAGGAGGAAUACCGUUAGCGAAGGCGGCAAUCUGGCUGGAAACUGACGCUGAGGUGCGAAAGCGUGGGUAGCAAACAGGAUUAGAUACCCCAGUAGUC